CCUGCUCCAAAAGCCAUUGCAGGUGUGGCUGCUGUGUCACAUGUGUGUCUGUAGGUGGCAGAGAGGAGAGAGGCUAUGUCUAUGCUCAGUGUUCAAACCUAUGAACAUCUGAAUAAUUAAUAGCUUAACAGU